GCCGAGAUGGUCUCAGCCUGUAUCUAAGAUGGCGGACUGUCUAUCCGCAGACCCGGGUUAAAAUCCCGGUCUCGGCG
rnacentral:tRNA from 2 species